rnacentral:snRNA from 1 species
AUCGCUUCUUGGCCUUUUGGCUAAGAUCAAGUGUAGUAUCUGUUCUUAUCAGUAAUAUAUAUGUGUGCACAUAUGUAUAUGUAUAUCUUUAAAAUGCAGUACUCUUG